UGCUUGGUUCGUUGUGUUCUGAAGGAAGUAAUAAUUCAUUGAAUAUCAACAGAACUGGUCAGUCCGUGAUCAUAGAGCAGUCGCCUCAACAGUCCUGGAUGUCAAAAUUUACAGAGUCACAACUAAAUACGUGCUCCAACUCAUCAUCACUUCCAACUUACGGGAAAGAUACAUCCAAUCCUAGGGGAAAUUGUAGCUUGGAUUCCCAGAAUCAAG
rnacentral:misc_RNA from 1 species